ACAUGCAAGUCGAACGAGGUCCGGAGCUUGCUCCGGGUGCCUAGUGGCGAACGGGUGAGUAACGCGUGGGAACCUGCCCUGGAGUGGGGAACAACCUUUGGAAACGAAGGCUAAUACCGCAUACGCUCUGAGGAGGAAAGGCUUCGGCCGCUCUUGGAUGGUCCCGCGUCUGAUUAGCUUGUUGGUGGGGUAACGGCCUACCAAGGCGACGAUCAGUAGCUGGUCUGAGAGGAUGAUCAGCCACACUGGGACUGAGACACGGCCCAGACUCC
rnacentral:rRNA from 1 species